UACGUAGGGUGCAAGCGUUUAAUCGGAAUUACUGGGCGUAAAGCGUGCGCAGGCGGUUGGGCAAGACAGAUGUGAAAUCCCCGGGCUUAACCUGGGAAUGGCAUUUGUGACUGUUCGGCUAGAGUGUGUCAGAGGGGGGUAGAAUUCCACGUGUAGCAGUGAAAUGCGUAGAGAUGUGGAGGAAUACCGAUGGCGAAGGCAGCCCCCUGGGAUAACACUGACGCUCAUGCACGAAAGCGUGGGGAGCAAACAGG
rnacentral:rRNA from 1 species